rnacentral:piRNA from 1 species
UGGAGCCUUGGGCUCAGCUCAUGAGUGCACAU